rnacentral:tRNA from 1 species
UGUUCUGUGGCUUAGUUGGUUAAGGCGACGGUAUAGCGAAUACGUAGACGUGGGUUCGAAUUCCACCUGUAGAA